UCUGCCCCAGCUCCACCACCCCGAGAGCGCAAAGCCCAGCCCAGGCCAGUCCUGCAGACAUUUCCUGACUUCCCAUUCUCCACCUCCACUCUUAAGAAAGAUCUGGACUCCUCAGGGUUCUCCAUGCUGCUGUAUCUUCCCUCCCAGCCUCUCCGAGGGUUCGAGGAUAAUCUAGUUAUAAGACAUAACGGUAUCCAAAGCUUGCUGGGUGCUAACUGGGGUGGGGAGGGGGAACAAGCACUUCCAUCACUUACUGCUCUCCAGAGCCCCAUGAGGAAGAAACUAUUAAUGCUCCCAUUCCCCAGAGAGGUACACUGAGGCCAGGGAAGUUACACAGCUGGCGAGUGGCUGGCCUGGACUCCCAAGCAUGGCUCUAGCCUGCCACGAGCACCCCACUCAGGGGCUGCAGGGUGAUUCCUGGACUUUGUAAUCUUGGGCUCGUUGUGCUUUCCUGGCCAGAUUCCAGGGCAGCAGGCAGCCAGGGCAGUGGAGGGUGGUGGCACGCAAGCCGAGCUCCCAAGGGGAAGGCUCCUGCACUGCCUACAGCGAGGUUUCCCCACUCAGGCAAGAUGCUGCCACCCUGAGUCAAAUCAGGAGGAAGUUGAGGGUUCGUAGAAAAUGUCACCUGCAGUCAGGGACAAACCAGCCCUCCGCUGCCACUGCCGCUGUCACGGAGGCUGCCCGGGGCUGCCACUACCCCUGCCGUCUGGGAAGGCCCGCCGAAUCGGGGCAGGUGUGGACAGAGCCCAGGACCCGAGGACCCGGUUGACCUCAGGAAAGUCGCCCGCAGUCCCAGAGAGCAAGACGAGGAGACUGAGGUGCAGCAAGGUCGAGUCAUGGCCCCACAUGUGCGCCAGGAGCACAGCUGGACCUGGUCAUCAAGCCGCGAGUCCAGGUUUGUACCUGCUGGGACUGGCGCUCAGUGCACACCUGCACCACCUCACGGCAUCCUCGCAAAGCCCCACGAGGCAGGGCCCAUGAGCACCUCCAAUUCAUGGGUGUGGCAACAGAGACACGAGAGGUUAAACAGCGCACCCAAGAUGACCCAGUUAUUAAGAAGCUGAGAUGCAGUGCAAACCACACCUGCCUGGCUCCAGAGGCUCCAAGGAUCCCCACCAUCCACGGAUGCCUUUGCCUCCAACGUCAGAGAGAAAACCUGGCUCAUCGAGCAUGAACCUCGGACCCCUUGUCCUCACAACAGCACGGUCUGCACCCAACCAACUUCCGCAAGGUGUUUCUGCUGCUUAGAGAAACUCACCUCCCAACUCUAGCCCACCUCACCUGUCUCCGCGGGGAACCUGCCCCAUCAAGUUGUCACCGCUGUUUAUGAGGGGUGUCCGUAGGGCAUAGAAAAAUGUUAGGGGAUGUUACAAGAACAAAACUUCAUUCCCUGCUUAUUGGUUUUGAAGGUAGACACUUACAAAUUGGAUGGAUACCUGUUCUAUAAUCUAAGGUGACCAGAAACCUUAAUUUAUGUAUGAUAUGAUCUUUACAGAGAUUUCUGUAAAGGAACAUUAACUUCUGUUACAUAACACAUAUAGUGUUAUAUGAAGGGAAAGCUAUUACGGAAGGAAAAGUUUUCAGUGUUCAUUAAAAUAAUUGGAUCUACACCUCUUCUAAAUGAAAAGAACAUGGGUAUGAAUAUUUAUAAGAUGAAAGCACAGAAGCUUCGGAUUAAACAACAUUCUCAAAGUUCUGAACUCGAGACAGUGUUAAUCACCAGGACAGUCUCCACGUGGGGCCGAAAGUCUCCAGGUCCACGUCUUCCAGCCCGGAUGCAUCUGCAGCCUGGAUCCUUGCUCAGGCCCACCCUCCAUCCUGGUCCAGGACUCCUCAUCCCAUUCCCUGAUCCCAUCACUUCCCAGCCUCCUGCAAAAGAAAAGCACACUUUGUUCGAGUCCAAACACUGCCUCUGAUGGUCUCCUUCCAGGCCUCUGUUUCCUCAUCUCUACUAUGGGCACAGCUGUGCUGCAAGCACGGCCUCCGGUCAUCUUACUCUCUCUCUCUAGAAUUAUCUGAUCCUAAGGUCUGGGGAAACAGAGGCAGACAGAAGUCCAGGGUCAGACUCUCACCUUGUUCAUUGGAAACAAUGAAGAAAAAGCAGCCCUAAUGUUAUUCUGCUGUCCCCAGCCCGUCGCCUUCCACUCCGCCUUCCCUUGCCUCUUCCCCCUUACCUGCUCCCCUCUACCCCUGCCUGCUGCAGGCCCCUGCUCUCGGCCCUCGGCCUGGCCCUCCUUCUCCCCCUCACCCAGCCAGGCUCCCAGCUCUCAGCAGCAGGCCCUCUCCUAACUUUGGAGCCUGCAAGGCCCACUGCCUCCACUGAUCCCCUGGAGUCCCCUGCUCCCCCUGC